GACGGCAUUUAACAUGUUGCUCCUGCCAGCUGGCAGGCAGCCACACCGAUGGCCCUGUCAGCACCGGCAGUGGAGAAUGAGAAACUCAACCAUAAAAGCGUUUCCUGGACUCACCCACGACCGUGAGGUUGACUUGGGCCUGCCUGCUGCCCAGCUUGUUCUCCACCACCAGUGUGUAGCAGCCACAGUGCUCCUGCCGCGCGGCCAGGAUGGUGAGCUUGCUGCCGCUCUCGCCAUUCUCCACCUUGAUAUGCUCGCUCUCCUGGAUCUGCGGGUACAGAUCAGGAUGUAAAGCCUCAGCUACUGCUGCAGUGCCAUGCCUGCCUGCCUGCCUGCCACCAUGUUCCACAGCACAAUGGUCACAGACUUGCUCUCUGAAAUUCUAAGCAAGACCCAGUUGAAUGCUUCCUUUUAUAAGUUGCCUUGGUCACAGUGCUUCUUCACAGCAACGGAACAGUGACGAAGACAUCCCUCAACUGUGUUAACCACAUUCCAUGCGCUCAACAGACAGGGCCAGUGGCUACCACACUGGAGAGCACAGAUGCAGAAAGGUUUCAUAACUGCAGUACGUUUUGUACUGAACUCGAUUAACUGGCUCUGAAAGGGACACAGUUCUGCCUUACCCAUCAGUCUAGACAGGCAGGGCCCCAUGUUCUUCUCCAUCUCCCUCAGAGCUAGUUCUCCUUCCCUCCUAGGUUCUCGUGGCUCAUCUCAUGACAAUUUGCAUGGUGUGAGAAUGCUGACAGAGCUUACAAAGAAUCCUCAUACCUUCUGCAAAGUGGUUUUUGAUCUUCCUAAUGCUGUAGCCCUUUAAUAUAGUUUCUCCCAUUUGGUGACCCCCCCCACCAUAAAAUUAUUUUGUUGCUAUUUCAUAACUGUAAUUUUGUUACUAUUAUCAAUUGUACUAUAAAUAUCUAUGUUUUCUGAUGGUCUUAGGUGACUUUAGUGAGAAGGUCAUUCAACUCCAAAGGGGUCAUGACCCACAGGUCAAGAACCAUUGCUCUAAUAGGUUCCCAGUGCAGAACCACCCAGCACAUUGGGAUGUCUGCUGAUCACACACAUGAGUGUCAUUACCAGUGUGAACACUGAGAAGCUGGGUCCUGAAAAAUUCCUUUCCAAACCGGUUAUUUGGAAAUUCAAAUGUUUUCAUAGGGAGCAUAUUAUAAAUUGUAGUUAUACUUCUGGGUCAUUCGGCCAAAAUUCUAUUUAAUGCAUAAUUUAUAUACCCAAAUACCUAGGCUUGCUUUGAUCUUUUAGCAUGUGUUAAGUGGAAGCUGUUAACCAGCCAGAACAGCAGUGAUGGUGUCUGAGGGGGUCACCUGAGGGCUUUGACUUCCUGCCUCCAAAAAGAAUUCUAGGCAGAUGGACUCAGAUGAGGGCAGGAGUAAUUUUAUUAAACAGACUGCCAAUAAAACCAGGGCUCAUUGGUAGAAACAGAAGAACAUGUCAGUAAGAACUCAGGUCUGGUGGAUAGGUUUCCUUUCCCCUUUCUUUUGUAACAAUCUUUCUUUUUCCGUAACCGGGUUUUGGGGUGCUAUGUAUCAUAUUAGGCUAUAUCCCUGGCCUCUGUGUUUUAUUUGAGCAGGACCCUGUAAGGUUGGCUGGGCUGGCCUUGAUCUUGCAAUUCUCUUGCCUUGGCCUUCCGAGUGCUGGGAUUCCAGGUAUGUAUCACCACACCCAGUGCUCUCCUCCACUUCCACAGUGAAACAGAGCACCGCCCCCUGGCCACCCAGCAUUUCUCAUCUUUUAGGCCCAGGGCUGGGCGUUGUCCUCAGGCCACCCGGCUUCCACGACUGACCUGCUUUCGGAACUUCAUCCACUUGCAGGUGAUGGGCUGGGUGCCAGCCACUUUCCCAAACAGCUCCACAGGUUCUCCUGCGCGCACCUUCUGGUCCUCGGGGAACUGGAUGAUUUGAGGGGGCAUAGCUAGGGGGGGGACAAGCAGAAUGUGAGUCGGGGCCUUAGACAUGGUGACCUCACUGGCACUGCUGGCCAUGGUAGAGCUCUCUUCCCGUCUGGAAUCUUUAAGAUAAGAAUGAAGGUACUGACCCCUGCUCCAAAAGCUCUGAAUGCAGGGACCCUGAUAGCCUUGUCUACCCUUUAGAAUCCCCAGAAGUGACCCACACAAUCUACACAACAUAGUUCUUCACGGAUUGAUUGUGGGGGAAAUUUGUGCCUCCCCAUAAUGGUUGGAAUCGCUGUCCCAAUGAUUAUUUCUUAAUUUAGCAUUACCUUGCAUCCAACCUUUCAGUUACCCUGGCUGAUAGGCUCAAUGUGGUUUGUGCCUUCAAAUGUCUCCCCAGGGACAACAAACCAUCCCAGAAAACAAGGACAUACAGAGCAGGGCCUAAAAGCACUAUGAUGUGGGUCACCCUCCUGGAAGGUAGAGACUGAGGCUGAGGCCUAACUUUGUAGAAGGGACAGGAAAGAAGCCACCAUCAGUAUAUGAUGUGGCACGCAUAGAUAGAGGCAGAGGAAGGAAGCAGGAGGGGACAGGGAUGAGGUACCAGCUGUUCCUAGGCUUCCUAGAGGAGAAGGAGGCAGCCCAGAAUGUGGAGCUUAGACAGGGCAAGGAUCUGCUGCCUACUACCCAUAUAUGGUCAGAAGUCAGAAGGCAGAGAAGAAGGCCCCAUGGCAGACGACCCCUAGCCCUCGGGUGGCACUGUGACUGUUACCUGCUUUUGUGGGUGUCUUGGGGGCAGGUUUCUUUUUCACAGUUGCGUCGCCUGAAACAAAAAAAAAGCUGACACGUUAUGACGUUAAGAUGUCAGUUCUGUUCAGGCCCCUCGUGUAUAGACACCCCUCAUUCUACUAUGUCUUCCCGUGGAUCUCCAUGCCCUGAUACAAUCUUAGGAUUCAAUGAAUGUCAGUCCUUGAGGGCCUCAGUAGGGGUCCCUCGGACCAGUGGGAUAGAAGUUCUCAAAACUCAAACGCCCCUCAUAGUCCUACUGAAAGAUGACAACCAAAAACUCACUAACUACAUGCUCACCCUAACUUUCAGGAAAUGCAGAAAGGAAAUUAUGUCAGAUACAGCAACUAAAAUUAGCCCUGGUAUGGAUCCAAGGGUCUCCGGCUUCCUUUAGGUCACAGGCUGUGACUGGUCGUUGUUUCUUAAACAACAAAACACAACAAAACAAAACUCCCCAAACCAAACCCUCAAUGAACGAAUCAGUGAAUGAAUGGAAGCUGGGAACAGCAGCCCCUGCCCAUGAUCAGCCUUGGGAGGCUGAGGGGAAAAGCACUUUCACAAGUUCAAAAGCUGCCUGGGCAGCACAGGGAGUUCCCAGGGAGCCUGGGAUGCUGGACACUAUUGCAAUCUCCGACCCUCAGAACUAAUGAAUAGUAUCUUGCCAUCUUUCCUCCCUACUCUACUUUUCUCAAAACUUAACAAAAAAUUAAAAAUAAAAACAUGACUCAGACAGAGACGCUUCAUAGCACAACUCAACCCAUCUGUCUAAAUAAAAAUAAGACACACAGGC